rnacentral:rRNA from 1 species
UGAGGAAUAUUGGUCAAUGGGCGCGAGCCUGAACCAGCCAAGUCGCGUGAGGGAAGACGGUCCUAUGGAUUGUAAAACCUCUUUUGUCGGGGAGCAAGAAAGGGUAUGCAUACCCUACUGAGAGUACCCGAAGAAAAAGCAUCGGCUAACUCCGUGCC